CAGUCGCCACGGUAAUACGUAGGGUGCAAGCGUUAAUCGGAAUUACUGGGCGUAAAGCGUGCGCAGGCGGUUAUAUAAGACAGAUGUGAAAUCCCCGGGCUCAACCUGGGAACUGCAUUUGUGACUGUAUAGCUAGAGUACGGCAGAGGGGGAUGGAAUUCCGCGUGUAGCAGUGAAAUGCGUAGAUAUGCGGAGGAACACCGAUGGCGAAGGCAAUCCCCUGGGCCUGUACUGACGCUCAUGCACGAAAGCGUGGGGAGCAAACAGGAUUAGAUACCACCGUAGUCCCUGUCUCUUAUAC
rnacentral:rRNA from 1 species